AGUAACCUGCCCUUGACUCUGGGAUAACCUCCGGAAACGGAAGCUAAUACCGGAUAUGACGUACGGAGGCAUCUCCUGUGCGUGGAAAGAAUUUCGGUCAAGGAUGGACUCGCGGCCUAUCAGGUAGUUGGUGAGGUAACGGCUCACCAAGCCUACGACGGGUAGCCGGCCUGAGAGGGUGACCGGCCACACUGGGACUGAGACACGGCCCAGACUCCUACGGGAGGCAGCAGUGGGGAAUAUUGCACAAUGGGCGCAAGCCUGAUGCAGCAACGCCGCGUGAGGGACGACGGCCUUCGGGUUGUAAACCUCUUUUAGUAGGGAAGAAGCGAAAGUGACGGUACCUGCAGAAAAAGCACCGGCUAACUACGUGCCAGCAGCCGCGGUAAUACGUAGGGUGCAAGCGUUGUCCGGAAUUAUUGGGCGUAAAGAGCUCGUAGGCGGUUUGUCGCGUCUGCUGUGAAAACCCGAGGCUCAACCUCGGGCCUGCAGUGGGUACGGGCAGACUAGAGUGCGGUAGGGGAGAAUGGAAUUCCUGGUGUAGCGGUGGAAUGCGCAGAUAUCAGGAGGAACACCGAUGGCGAAGGCAGUUCUCUGGGCCGUAAC
rnacentral:rRNA from 1 species